CAGAGAAAGUGAACUUUCCUUACAGAGAUCACCAGUAAAAAGUCACAUGACAGAAGUGUAUCCAGAAAGCAGGAUUUGAGGAGGUCAGCUUUACUCCUUAACUGUUGACUUCCAUGAGCUGUGAAGCAAGACUUGCUCAGCCUGUGAGCAGCAGCACAGAAGAGUCAGAGAUGAACCUGCCACCAGGAAAGCCAUCAGAAGGCUUCGUGUGUGGGUGAGAUAAAGAGCUGGGGAUGUUUCGAGAGGCAGAUAGUGGGAAAAGAAGAAGAACGCCCAUAAGCGAAGCCUCUGCCAUCAUUGAAACAUGCAGUCUUAACUUCAGAGCAAGAUUACUGGUCUUUAUCUCACUCAUGACUCUGCAAAUUAAACUGCAUUGGGGCAAUGUAAUGUAAUGCAAGCCACACUAUUCAUUUUAUUGCAAAGUGUCUGUUGGUUGAUUCAGAUAUGAUUAUGUUGAGAUGAACUAGAUUUUUAAAAUCCAGACUACAGCUUUCAAGCAACUUGGCGUUCAAGACUUUCCAUAAUAAGACCAAACAUUUACAACACACCUCGUGUGGCCAAACAAGGUCCCAGACACUGUGACAUGCAGAGAAAGAAACAAGACCUUCUCUGCAUUAAACACGAUCGUUUCAGAGACAACCUUAACUUACAUGACAGUGAAUUAUAUGCGAGACUAGAUUUGAGGCAAAACUAACCCGUGACCUCACAGAGUGUUCUGAGGAAGCUGGGGUCUGGGUUGGACCUUAUAAGAGGAAUAAAGAGAAGAAGAGGAAGGGCAGGCAAGAGGUAAGGCUCAGAAGUUGCUUUUGCCCAGGGCCAAUGUGCUUUUUAAUUAAAUCCUGCCUCGAUUCAAGGGUUUUUAUAGUUUUGAAGAGCCCGAUGCCCAUGUCUGCCCUGGCAAAUGUGUUUUUCAGCUGGGACUUUUAAGCAGCCAUUGUCAGUGUCUGAGCUGAGCUGAGGCCUCCUUGAUGUUUUAAUUGCUGGGUACUUUGGACACUUUGCUGUAAUGUCCAUUAUGUGGGCAACCUGUCACGUGUUGCUUGAGCUCGCUCCAAAGCUGACUCUGAGAGUGGGCUUUCCCCGCC
rnacentral:lncRNA from 1 species